GAUGAACGCUGGCGGCGUGCCUAAUACAUGCAAGUCGAGCGAAUGGAUUAAGAGCUUGCUCUUAUGAAGUUAGCGGCGGACGGGUGAGUAACACGUGGGUAACCUGCCCAUAAGACUGGGAUAACUCCGGGAAACCGGGGCUAAUACCGGAUAACAUUUUGAACCGCAUGGUUCGAAAUUGAAAGGCGGCUUCGGCUGUCACUUAUGGAUGGACCCGCGUCGCAUUAGCUAGUUGGUGAGGUAACGGCCCACCAAGGCAACGAUGCGUAGCCGACCUGAGAGGGUGAUCGGCUACCCUGGGACUGAGACAUGGCCCAGACUCCUACGGGAGGCAGCAGUAGGGAAUCUUCCGAAAUGGACGAAAGUCUGACGGAGCAACGCCGCGUGAGUGAUGAAGGCUUUCGGGUCGUAAAACUCUGUUGUUAGGGAAGAACAAGUGCUAGUUGAAUAAGCUGGCACCUUGACGGUACCUAACCAGAAAGCCACGGCUAACUACGUGCCAGCCGCCGCAGUAA
rnacentral:rRNA from 1 species